rnacentral:misc_RNA from 1 species
UCCGGUUUAUCACCGGCAGUCUCCAUAGAGUUCUCGCCUUGACGCGUUAGUAACUGUGAACAAGGGUUGCGCUCGUUGCGGGACUUAACCCAACAUCUCGCGACACGAGCUGACGACAGCCAUGCAGCACCUCUCCAGAGAUCCCCGAAGGGAGGGACUCAUCUCUGAGCCUUUCCUCUGAAGUUCAAACCCAGGUAAGGUUCUGCGCGUUGCUUCGAAUUAAACCACAUGCUCCACCGCUUGUGCGGGCCCCCGUCAAUUCCUUUGAGUUUCAGUCUUGCGACCGUACUCCCCAGGCGGGGCGCUUAAUGCGUUAGCUGCGGCACGGAGGACGUGGAAUGUCCCCGACGUCUAGCACUCAUCGUUUACGGCGUGGACUAC